rnacentral:rRNA from 1 species
GUCCACGCUGUAAACGAUGGAUACUAGGUGUAGGGGGUCAUUAACCCCCUCUGUGCCGUAGCAAACGCGUUAAGUAUCCCGCCUGGGGAGUACGGCCGCAAGGUUAAAACUCAAAGGAAUUGACGGGGGCCCGCACAAGCAGCGGAGCGUGUGGUUUAAUUCGAUGGUACGCGAAGAACCUUACCUGGGUUUGACAUACAGGUAGUAGCGAGGUGAAAGCCGAGCGACCCUUCGGGGAGCCUGAACAGGUGCUGCAUGGCUGUCGU